rnacentral:rRNA from 1 species
UACGUAGGGUGCAAGCGUUGUCCGGAAUUAUUGGGCGUAAAGAGCUCGUAGGCGGUUCGUCGCGUCGGCUGUGAAAACCCGGAGCUCAACUCCGGGCCUGCAGUCGAUACGGGCGGACUAGAGUUCGGCAGGGGAGACUGGAAUUCCUGGUGUAGCGGUGAAAUGCGCAGAUAUCAGGAGGAACACCGGUGGCGAAGGCGGGUCUCUGGGCCGAUACUGACGCUGAGGCACGAAAGCCAGGGGAGCAAACGGG